GGUUCAAACUGUGCGAGUGCAGAAGAUGAUAGAUUAGAUUGUUAUGAGGGGAACAAGUAAAGAUGAUGGCAUGGUGAAGAUUUGAAAGAUUUAAUCUUGAUUGUCCAAAGUUUUCUGCAAUGUUUCAGGAAUGGCCAAAAGGUUCAUUAGAGGAGACUGUGCAAACACCAUAAAAUCAUGGGAGAUGGAGCUUUCACACAAAACCCACUUGAAGAUUUCAGAACCAUAAAUACUGAAAAGUUCAAGCUCUUUGUUAAUGGAAAUUAAUUAACCACAUGUUGUCUCAGAUUAUUUGAUUUUUUUUCAUGAGUUAAUUGAGUACAUUUUCCUCAGACUAAUUUGAUUGUCCUCUAUAUUCACAUGAUUUUGGAUGUCAUAGGAUCAAAGUUUCAGAACUCUUUAAGAUUCUGCUUUUUCCAAAAAGAGAGAUCACAAAAGACAAAGAGAACCUCCUCAAUUUUUAAUUUCUUUAUGCAUAAAAGUACAACUCCUUAAUAUUUUAAUUUCUUUAAAAAGUGAGUGUGUCUAUCAACGUUUGAGCUUCUAAUUUAGAAUAUCAUAAUUUGGUUUUUGUUAAUUUCAGGUUCAAACUGUGCGAGUGCAGAAGAUGAUAGAUUAGAUUGUUAUGAGGGGAACAAGUAAAAGGAUGAUGGCAUGGUGAAGAUUUGAAAGAUUUAAUCUUGAUGGUCCAAAGUUUUCUGCAAUGUUUCAGGAAUGGCCAAAAGGUUCAUUAGAGGAGACUGUGCAAAACACCAUAAAAUCAUGGGAGAUGGAGCUUUAACACAAAACCCACUUGAAGAUUUCAGAACCAUAAAUCCUGAAUAAUUCAAGCUCUUUGUUAAUGGAAAUUAAUUAACCACAUGUUGUCUCAGAUUAUUUGAUUUUUUUUCAUGAGUUAAUUGAGUACAUUUUCCUCAGACUAAUUUGAUUGUCCUCUAUAUUCACAUGAUUUUGGAUGUCAUAGGAUCAAAGUUUCAGAACUCUUUAAGGUUCUGCUUUUUCCAAAAAGAGAGAUCACAAAAGACAAAGAGAACCUCCUCAAUUUUUAAUUUCUUUAUGCAUAAAAGUACAACUCCUUAAUAUUUUAAUUUCUUUAAUUCAGAGUUGGAGGUUGAUAUUUGUUUACAUAACCUCUUCUAAAUAAAAUCAAAUAAGCUUUUCUAAACGGAGCUUUUAUCUACUUUCUGCAAUUUUACCAACUCCUUAAUAUUUGCACUUUUUUAUAGACAUAGAACAAUACAAAUUCAACUUGCCGCCAUCUUCGGGCAAGCUAAACAUUUUCAUAAUAGGAAAGAUCUGUAGCUUAAAUAUCUGCAAACGGUGAAGGCCAAGAUCGUUCUCUCCAACUGUGGUAAGAACCCUUCUAAUUUUUUCUAUCAUUUGUUUUGUGGAGAACGAAGUGAGAGGGAAGAAAUUCACAAAGAGCAAGAUCGUUCUCUCCAACUGUGGUAAGAACCUUUCCUUUUUUUUCUUUCUUUCUGCGUUUUGACUUCAGAGUACAAACUUUUAAUUUUUCUACAAUUUGUUUUUCACAUUAGGUUGUUGUCUUCUUUAUUCUCAUUUCUCCUCUUCCACUCCAGUAAGAUACAGUUUUUAAUCCUCAAUUCAUUUUUUUUGUACACGUUAGGUUGUUAUCUUCUUUAUUUUAUGCCUCAUAUGGGUGCAUGAUUUCAAAAAUGUCACCUUAUGAAUAUCCCUUGGCUUAAUAAUUUCCCCAAUACUAUAAUUCAUUUUAUUCUCUCCUCAUACUGUUAUGUCAAUUGAUUCUCUCAUAAUUAUUUACUAAACCUCUCUUCUACUUUCUAUUAAAAAGAUAUUCUUUUUAAUUUUUUAAGGCCAAGAAUUGCCACUCAUACAUUUACAAGUUUCAAUUCCCUUAUUUUGGAAGAUCACUCUUAUAAGGCCAAAUGUGACAUCUUCUCUUUCAUUUAUAUGUGCUUAUUGUGGAUAUUGAAGAAUUUAGUGGUUACAUAUUAGUAAUUAAUAUCAUUUAGGAAUUCCAUAGGGCAUGAUUAGUUAGUUAAAAUUUAUACAAGACAUUAAUCCUAAAAAAUAAAAAGUUAACCGUUUAAACAUUAAAUUUGAUAUCAAUGCCAAUAAAAACUUUCCACUAACCAUUUCCACUACAAUAACUACAAGUACUAACUUUCCACUAACUCUCUUAUAAGUCUAACUAUUUUUCUUCUCUAUUUGUGGCCAUUCAAUACACAAGCUAAUUUAUUGUUGAAUGCAUAUAUUGACAGGAGUGGGAAAGGGAAAAGCCUAAGCCAGGUGGUACAACUCUCAUUGAAAAGGAUAACGAGGGGGGAAGUGAAAGAAGAGGAAGAAGAAAAUGAUGAUUCUGAGAAGUAGGACAAAAAUAGUAUGCUAUAAACAUCAUGUUAUUGCAUCAGAAAGUUUGAGCUUUCUUAGUUUGUCUAGGCACCAUUACAAUGUAUCAAACAUAUUCAAUAUUAAUUGAGUUAU